UACGUAGGCAGCGAGCGUUGUUCGGAAUUACUGGGCGUAAAGAGUGUGUAGGCGGUGCUCUAAGUUCGGUGUGAAAUCUCCCGGCUUAACUGGGAGGGUGCGCCGGAAACUGGAGGGCUUGAGUAUGGGAGAGGAAGGCGGAAUUCCUGGUGUAGCGGUGAAAUGCGUAGAUAUCAGGAGGAACACCUGCGGUGUAGACAGCUUUCUGGACCAUUACUGACGCUGAGACACGAAAGCGUGGGUAGCAAACAGG
rnacentral:rRNA from 1 species